UAUUUAUUCACAAACAAAAUGAAACAAAAGAAACUACCCUUUGGCUCCUAAAAUUCUGUCUUACACUUUUAUCCCCAAAAGCUCCCAUUUAAAGGUGUUAGUAUAAGCAGCCAAUAAAGUGAGGUGUCCUUUUACCUGACAACAUUUCAAUCCAAGUAGAAGAUAAGAAGAAAAUUUAUCCUUAGAGAAUAAUUUUGGAGUAAACUUUUCUACAGCUACUCCGCAGAGGUUAAGGACGCUAAAUCUUGUAGGCAACAUCGAAGGGCUCCUCGCUCUCUGGAUUCCAGUUGCAUUUGCUAUAUUGGAGUGUGCAGAGUACAGAGAUUGAAACUUGGGUGUUGAAUCCCAGGGAUCUCUACCAAACAGGCUGCUGGAGACUGGUCAUGUCCCCAUCCAGGGAAUUAACAACCUGUUCAGAUGGAAUCUCUUCUUUUAGACAACAGCAUUUGCAUGCGGAGCAAAAGAGACUGACGCUGGCAGUGUUGCAGGCCCAUAUAUGAAGAGUAGCCAGGAAGCAGAAGACAUAGGUCUAAGUCACCAUGACUAACCCUGAGCUGAAACAUAACUACUGAAAGGGAAUAACAGGAUUUUAUUAUGAGAAGAAUAAUGGAUGUUGGGGAGCCAAAGAUUAAAUGAAUCUUCAUUCAGUAACGGUUCAACUUGUUACAUUACAAUUAAAGAG
rnacentral:lncRNA from 1 species